AGCCUUGUGGGGGACUAUGUCCCAAAGCUGUGAGGGAACAGGCUCUGGGAGCCGCUUCCAGACUGUGGACUCGAGCAACAUUGAUGGAUUUGUGAACUGCACCAAGAUCCUGGGCAACCUGGACUUUCUGAUCACCGGCCUCAAUGGGUUAGAGAUCCUGCCUUCCCUCCUUAGACCCCAGCCCACGCACCCCUCACAGUUCAUUUCAUUGGCCAAAACUUUCCUAUGUGGAGCUGACUAGGAAUCAAAGUCAUAAAAUUCUAGCCUGUUACAAAGGACCUGAAAGAAUGCUUAACACAUCCUCCAUC
rnacentral:lncRNA from 10 species